UGGGGAAUUUUUGGACAAUGGGCGAAAGCCUGAUCCAGCAAUGCCGCGUGUGUGAAGAAGGCCUUCGGGUUGUAAAGCACUUUUGUCCGGAAAGAAAUCCUUGGCUCUAAUACAGUCGGGGGAUGACGGUACCGGAAGAAUAAGCACCGGCUAACUACGUGCCAGCAGCCGCGGUAAUACGUAGGGUGCAAGCGUUAAUCGGAAUUACUGGGCGUAAAGCGUGCGCAGGCGGUUUGCUAAGACCGAUGUGAAAUCCCCGGGCUCAACCUGGGAACUGCAUUGGUGACUGGCAGGCUAGAGUAUGGCAGAGGGGGGUAGAAUUCCACGUGUAGCAGUGAAAUGCGUAGAGAUGUGGAGGAAUACCGAUGGCGAAGGCAGCCCCCUGGGCCAAUACUGACGCUCAUGCACGAAAGCGUGGGGAGCAAACAGGAUUAGAUACCCUGGUAGUCCACGCCCUAAACGAUGUCAACUAGUUGUUGGGGAUUCAUUUCCUUAGUAACGUAGCUAACGCGUGAAGUUGACCGCCAGGGGAGUACGGUCGCAAGAUUAAAACUCAAAUGAAUUGACGGGGUCAUAGCUGUUUCCU
rnacentral:rRNA from 1 species